CGGGCGUUAAGUUGCAGGGUAUAGACCCGAAACCCGGUGAUCUAGCCAUGGGCAGGUUGAAGGUUGGGUAACACUAACUGGAGGACCGAACCGACUAAUGUUGAAAAAUUAGCGGAUGACCUGUGGCUGGGGGUGAAAGGCCAAUCAAACCGGGAGAUAGCUGGUUCUCCCCGAAAGCUAUUUAGGUAGCGCCUCGUGAAUUCAUCUCCGGGGGUAGAGCACUGUUUCGGCUAGGGGGCCAUCCCGGCUUACCAACCCGAUGCAAACUGCGAAUACCGGAGAAUGUUAUCACGGGAGACACACGGCGGGUGCUAACGUCCGUCGUGAAGAGGGAAACAACCCAGACCGCCAGCUAAGGUCCCAAAGUCAUGGUUAAGUGGGAAACGAUGUGGGAAGGCCCAGACAGCCAGGAUGUUGGCUUAGAAGCAGCCAUCAUUUAAAGAAAGCGUAAUAGCUCACUGGUCGAGUCGGCCUGCGCGGAAGAUGUAACGGGGCUAAACCAUGCACCGAAGCUGCGGCAGCGACACUGUGUGUUGUUGGGUAGGGGAGCGUUCUGUAAGCCUGUGAAGGUGUGUCGUGAGGCAUGCUGGAGGUAUCAGAAGUGCGAAUGCUGACAUAAGUAACGAUAAAGCGGGUGAAAAGCCCGCUCGCCGGAAGACCAAGGGUUCCUGUCCAACGUUAAUCGGGGCAGGGUGAGUCGACCCCUAAGGCGAGGCCGAAAGGCGUAGUCGAUGGGAAACGGGUUAAUAUUCCCGUACUUGGUGUUACUGCGAAGGGGGGACGGAGAAGGCUAUGUUGGCCGGGCGACGGUUGUCCCGGUUUAAGCGUGUAGGUGUGUGUUCCAGGUAAAUCCGGUUCACUUUAACACUGAGGCGUGACGACGAGGCACUACGGUGCUGAAGCAACAAAUGCCCUGCUUCCAGGAAAAGCCUCUAAGCAUCAGGUAACAUCAAAUCGUACCCCAAACCGACACAGGUGGUCAGGUAGAGAAUACCAAGGCGCUUGAGAGAACUCGGGUGAAGGAACUAGGCAAAAUGGUGCCGUAACUUCGGGAGAAGGCACGCUGACACGUAGGUGAAGUGAUUUACUCAUGGAGCUGAAGUCAGUCGAAGAUACCAGCUGGCUGCAACUGUUUAUUAAAAACACAGCACUGUGCAAACACGAAAGUGGACGUAUACGGUGUGACGCCUGCCCGGUGCCGGAAGGUUAAUUGAUGGGGUCAGCGCAAGCGAAGCUCCUGAUCGAAGCCCCGGUAAACGGCGGCCGUAACUAUAACGGUCCUAAGGUAGCGAAAUUCCUUGUCGGGUAAGUUCCGACCUGCACGAAUGGCGUAAUGAUGGCCAGGCUGUCUCCACCCGAGACUCAGUGAAAUUGAACUCGCUGUGAAGAUGCAGUGUACCCGCGGCAAGACGGAAAGACCCCGUGAACCUUUACUAUAGCUUGACACUGAACAUUGAGCCUUGAUGUGUAGGAUAGGUGGGAGGCUUUGAAGUGUGGACGCCAGUCUGCAUGGAGCCGACCUUGAAAUACCACCCUUUAAUGUUUGAUGUUCUAACGUGGACCCGUUACCCGGGUUGCGGACAGUGUCUGGUGGGUAGUUUGACUGGGGCGGUCUCCUCCUAAAGAGUAACGGAGGAGCACGAAGGUUGGCUAAUCCUGGUCGGACAUCAGGAGGUUAGUGCAAUGGCAUAAGCCAGCUUGACUGCGAGCGUGACGGCGCGAGCAGGUGCGAAAGCAGGUCAUAGUGAUCCGGUGGUUCUGAAUGGAAGGGCCAUCGCUCAACGGAUAAAAGGUACUCCGGGGAUAACAGGCUGAUACCGCCCAAGAGUUCAUAUCGACGGCGGUGUUUGGCACCUCGAUGUCGGCUCAUCACAUCCUGGGGCUGAAGUAGGUCCCAAGGGUAUGGCUGUUCGCCAUUUAAAGUGGUACGCGAGCUGGGUUUAGAACGUCGUGAGACAGUUCGGUCCCUAUCUGCCGUGGGCGCUGGAGAACUGAGGGGGGCUGCUCCUAGUACGAGAGGACCGGAGUGGACGCAUCACUGGUGUUCGGGUUGUCAUGCCAAUGGCACUGCCCGGUAGCUAAAUGCGGAAGAGAUAAGUGCUGAAAGCAUCUAAGCACGAAACUUGCCCCGAGAUGAGUUCUCCCUGAGACUUAGAGUCUCCUGAAGGAACGUUGAAGACGACGACGUUG
rnacentral:rRNA from 1 species